GGAAGUUUAGCUCAGCUGGGAGAGCAUCAGUUUUACACACUGAGGGUCGGCGGUUCGAUCCCGUCAACUUCCACCA
rnacentral:tRNA from 1 species